CGAAGGGACGUACUCGUCUAAGAUAGAGAGACCUCCAUCAAAAAAAAGCAGGGGCAGCAUAACGCGAUUCCAACACUACUAGUAUAUAGACUAGUUGAGUUUAUUUUAGAUUUCCUUCCUUAUUUUCUUCUUUAACAAUAUUUCUUUGUUAUUUUAAAAUAACUUGAAUCUUUCCGAUUAUUUACAGAGACAUCGGUGUUAUUCUCAAGUACAACAGACAACAUCAGACUAGGUAGAUAAAACUAUACUCCGCUAUCAAAAUAAAUAAUUCCUGCAGUUUGUUUCGCUGAACAGGCCCGAAGAAAUACUAACCCCUCAAACACCUGUGCGCUCAACCUAAAAAUUUAAAAUAAAGCCAAAAUAAAGCCAAAAGAGGGAACCAAAAUAGGAAAGAAUACAUUGAUUAAAUGGUAUCGCGAAUUGCUAAAAAUUUGUCCAGAGGGUCCUCAUGUUCCUCCGCCGCCAGGUCCUGCUCCAGCUCCAGCGUCAGAUCCCAACGGGGCCCCCCCGGAAAGCCCAUCCAACAAUCCAAGCCCAGAUCCAGUGACGGCCUUCCGACUUCCCGCCCCAUAGACCAUUUCCAUUAACUUCGCCUUCUGUCUCUCCCUCACCCCUUUUAAAUACUCAUAAGCACCUUCAAGACCUUUGAUCUGGCCUUCAACCAAUAACUCCACCGAACCCUGCGCACCACUCCCAAUCCCUCUCCCCACGCACUCCCAAUCACCCCCACUACUACAUCGACUACUAGCCCCUAAUAGCUCAAAACUAGCCGAACCAUUUCUCCUGACCAGCUGACUAACCAACUUCCUCCUCAAUGUCUCCAGGUUCACCUUGAGGGUCAACAGCUUCCCGCGAUGGUCCAUUAGAAGAUGUUUAUUGGCAACCGUCCGCUGCCGCACAGAUGACAGUAACUGACGGUUCUUUUCAUAUUUUCGCAGCGCGGCAGCGUUGGGGCCAAGCACGCGCGUCCACAGUGAUGAGAGCAUCUCUCCCUCUGCACGUUCCUGCGCAUCUGACUCGCGUACAACUGUGCGCUGCAGGUUCAAGAACUGGCGGUCUAUGGACUCGAAGAGAGCGAAAAGGGCAGCAGAAUGAGUCAGUUCGCUGUUUAUCGACUCCUCAAGAACGGCGAGGAAUUCGGUGAAGGUAUGGGUGAGGGUGCGGUGGGUGCGUUGAGAACGUGUAGUACCGAACAUAGUAGUAAUGAGAGAGCCUAGGCGGCUAGGGGAAGGAAGGGGAGAUUUACUGCCGUCUGGUAAUGUUGUUGUGGCAGUUUCAAGAGCGCCGAGGCGCCAGAGGAUGGAGUGAAAGUUGUCAAAGAAGAUGGAAGGGAGGGAGUUGGCGGGCUGUGAUGAGAGGGCCCCCAGCUCACGCUUCGCCCAGUCCAUGACGAUUAGUAUGGAGUCGAUGUCAGCGUCGAUAUUGGCGAAAAAGCGGGUGAGUUCUAGAGAGAGGGUCUUGAGAGAUUCGGAGAGCUCGUCGAGCUGGCGUACGAUGAUCGGGGCGCUUGUCAUAUUUGUGGCACGCACAGAUUCACCCAAAUCCCAGACAGCGACUCCAGUUUCUUGCAAAGCGCCGAUUUGCUGUACCCCAUUUUCGGAGUAGUAUAUUAGUGGCUCGAAAGAUCGUGCGAGGCCGGAAAGUUUGACGAGAUCGGGAACAGGGAGGGGGAUAGGGGGAAGCAAAAAUGCACGAAUGAUCAAGAAGGAUAUAAUGCCUAUGAGAAAUGAUAACACGGUGUUUGUGCGGCUUUUAGUCAUAGAGUUAAUUCUUUGGCUGACAUAGCUGAAAAUUGCAACAAAAGGUUCCCGAUGUUGAACUUCCGCGCGCACCGCGAAACGGAUAUCUACGAAAUGUUAGCUCCCGAACGAGAGAAAGGAUAUAACUGACAUGCCGGAGCUUAUGGGAACGAAAAAUUAGUUUAAAAUGGAUUGGGAAAAAUUGAAAAUAUACUACAAUUUGUAAAAUAAUCCGGCGCAAGCUCCUCCGGCAACAGUUCAAGUGUGUCCUUUGUAUUAUUGGUAUUGGUUUCUUCCUCCACCCCGGUUUUUUCUUCGAGCUUUAUUGAUGGUGCGGGACUAGGCGACCUGCCCUUCUGCGGUGAAUCAGCACCCAUGGGCAAUGGUAUAUUUGCGGGUAUCGUGAGGUCGGCGGGGUCAUCUCCUCCAGAGCCGAUGGGUUUCUCCAGGGCAUCCUCAUAUUGCGGGCUAACUUCUCUCGACCGCAAUGGGCUGAAAUCAUAUGGCGGUCCAAAAUAUGGCUUGUCGCGCAGAUAUGGUUGAUGCCGGUACCAAGCACUGCCCGUUGUUGGGGGAAAGUGUUGCUGUUGCAAGAUAUACCUCCGUUGUUGGUAUCCUGGUGGAGACCAUGGGUCACCAGCACUAGAGUCUAUAUCUGUUUCCGGAUCAUGAUCAUUUAUGGUUUCGGACUGGAACCCGGAGUGCUGAGAGGGGAGGUCGAGGAGGGGCGAAGGGCGUGAGGAGUCCUCGAAGUCCUCGAGGGAGGCGGUUAAUGAAGGGUGAUCAUCGAAAACAUCCAGUUCCUCAAGACGGGUGGGCGUCAUGAUGGAUAUUACGGCCCUUGUUCAAGAAGUAGGAAAGGUACAGGUUCAAGCGCCACAGAUUUUCCCGAUAAUGAAGACUGGAAAUGUUGUAUGUCGAGCGCUUGAGUGCGUUCGCAGAUAUUUGGCUCCAAAGGUGUGGGCCGGUUAUUGAACAUUAUGCAGCCAGAAAAAGUCGAAAGAUGAUAUUGGGAGAUUUGAACGACGAGUAAACGCACAUAAACAGGUCGUAUUCGACAGUCAGGACACAGGGCACGAAAUAAGGACUCUCAGACAGGAGAAGUAGUCGUUAAUCACGAUACCAACUGAGGGCCCAUCAGUGGUCACGUCACGGUCCCGACGACACGGCGAAAUCAGCGCGCUAUCGGUGAGCAGAUAGGCGGCAGUGAUAAUUUCGCGUGGAUGUUGCUGGGGCGAAGAGAUACGACGAGGCAACCAGCGUGAUUCUUCGCCAGAUGUUCAUCCAAACACUCAGUUUGCGUGCAGGACUCGUUGGUUGAAGUGUUCUCCCUCUGGUAAUAGCGGGGAACAUGGGAUGGCACUAGUAAGGACAAGCGUCAUCUCAACAGCACACCAUGGUUUAUCAUUGGGCAACACCGUCGCAGCAGGUUCAGCCAGCGAUGUUGGUGACUGGUGGGAAGUUGGUGGCUAGGAGUGCGUGGUCAAAGUUCCAUCCAGCCACCCCGAUGCUACAGUCCAGCGGCUUCGUUUGUGCUACACACCUGAGACAUAGGUGCACGCACACCAUUUGUCGUUUUGUGCUGGAGUGCUUGAGGAAGUGAAGUGCGCGAUCAGAUAUGAGCGCUUUGUCGCGAACCCACAUCCUGGCUCCUCCGCUGAGGAGUAGGAAACUUGGAAGCCACACACGCCCUGCCUUGCCAGCGAUUCAGGAAUUGGGCGGGGGAUAUCGAGGGCUACACCAGCACUAUCACUCCAAUUGACCAAGGCAUGUCGAUGGUUUGGUGUAUUUCCAAGUUUUGGUGCUGUCUCGUGGUACGGCGUAUACAGAGUAAAAAUGUAAAGAGAUACUUCUGCUCCCUGGAGCCGCAACCCCAGUUUUAGCAUCAGCAUGCCUAACUUGGCAAUCAAGAUUUAUUUAACCUUCAGAAGCUACGUUAGCCAUCGUUGAUACCGAACAGGCGAGCGAAUUCGAUUAUCACCUCCCGGAACGUUUUUCAGAUGAGAAUAUCAAUCAAAAAUCAUGACCAAAACUGCUUUCAAAAAGCAAGUGUUCUUUUAGCUACCAAAGGGGAUUAAUUUUUAAGUUUAUCUAUCACUAACUAAUGUUUAUAUAAUCUUAAUUUAAACCUUUCCUACCCAACUCUUUACCAUCAACUUUAAAUAUACUGAAUAGGAUUGUCAUGCUGCGAGGCCCGGAAGGCCUAGGUAUCUCAAGGGAUACCUAACUUAUAUACCGUAUAUAUAGGCUCCGAUAACAGCAGUGGCUGUUAUCGUGUGUAACCUUUUUGAUCGAGUAGUUAAGCCGGGCACCUCGCGUGAUCCAGCUCCAGAUCCAUACUUAAAUCAUAAUUACAGCGAU
rnacentral:sRNA from 2 species